GACGAACGCUGGCGGCGUGCUUAACACAUGCAAGUCGAACGGUGAAGGGGAGCUUGCUCCCCGGAUCAGUGGCGAACGGGUGAGUAACACGUGGGCAACCUGCCCCAGACUUCGGGAUAACGCUUCGAAAGAGGUGCUAAUACCGGAUACGAACUCCCUGGGCAUCCUGGGAGUUGGAAAGUUUUUCGGUCUGGGAUGGGCCCGCGGCCUAUCAGCUUGUUGGUGAGGUAACGGCUCACCAAGGCGACGACGGGUAGCCGGCCUGAGAGGGCGACCGGCCACACUGGGACUGAGACACGGCCCAGACUCCUACGGGAGGCAGCAGUGGGGAAUAUUGCGCAAUGGGCGAAAGCCUGACGCAGCAACGCCGCGUGAGGGAUGACGGCCUUCGGGUUGUAAACCUCUUUCAGCAGGGAAGAAGCGAAAGUGACGGUACCUGCAGAAGAAGCACCGGCUAACUACGUGCCAGCCGCCGCAGUAA
rnacentral:rRNA from 1 species